UACGGAGGGGCCUAGCGUUGUUCGGAAUUACUGGGCGUAAAGCGCACGUAGGCGGAUUUGUAAGUCAGGGGUGAAAUCCCGGGGCUCAACCUCGGAACUGCCUUUGAUACUGCAGAUCUCGAGUCCGGAAGAGGUGAGUGGAAUUCCUAGUGUAGAGGUGAAAUUCGUAGAUAUUAGGAAGAACACCAGUGGCGAAGGCGGCUCACUGGUCCGGUACUGACGCUGAGGUGCGAAAGCGUGGGGAGCAAACAGG
rnacentral:rRNA from 1 species